CUGUGAAUUUUACUACUCAGAGAAGGAGAGAGAAGUGUUAGCUCCAGUAAUUCGUUUUCACUCGAGCCUGUUAGUUUUUCGUGAAAAUUUGAAGUAUUCUUCCCGUGUUCACGCUAGUUGCGGCUGCUUGUCCAUUUAAUGACUGCGUCUACGUUAAAUUUGCUUUACCUUGGAAAUUUUCAUGAUGCAAUUUGUGCAUUACGCAGCCCUUCACAGGACUGAUGUUUUUUUUUUUUACCUUAAACAGGCUUUUCGUUAUGGCUGGACAAAAGAAAGAAAUGGUAUUUCAGCUGGCAACUGGUGAUGAAGAUGAUGAACAAGCCUAACAACCAAGAUAAACAAAAAUAUACCCAUGUAAUGCACAUAAAUUAUUGAACAUUCUAAAAAAGCAAACAAUUCUUUGUAAUUUCUAUACUGACACCAUUGUUUAGAGACUGGGAAAAAUAUCUUGCUUAAUUAAGGUAAGAAGUCCAAUUAAAAUCAGACGUUGAGAGCCCCCAGGACUGAUAUUAAAAAGCAUGGAGCUUAAAAGGACUGCCUACAAGAUCUUAUUGUUGAAAUAUACAGAAUAGAAAAGAAUUUCAGAAGCAUUUGCAUGGAAUUUUAAAAAAAUCUGAGUAUCCUUCUACUACUGAUAACUAGGCAAUGAGAAAGCCAACAGAGAAUCUACCAAUAUUCAAUGCCAGCUUUAAAGGAGCUGCAUGGAUUUAUGACAAUACAUUGUCACUCCAAGCAUAUUAAAAUCAUUUAGCAUUUUCUCUACAAAUCUGCAAUGUUGCGGGUAGGGUGGUAAAACAGAAGACAUUUCUCAUUUAAGCUUUUAUACAUUUUGCAGGAAGAUCUGUUCAGUAUCCCAAAACCCUGGGUGAGAAUGACAUAUUACCUAAUGAGACCAUGGCCGAAACUUUUGGCAUUAACCCCCCCCCCCAUAAAAAAUGUGUUGGCUUUGUGUAUCAUAUACAGAAGACUGAAUCUACUGUUAAGAAUAAUGCUAGCAUUAUGAUAUGAGGCUGUUUCUCUUUUGAAGAAAGGUCAGGAUAGAUGUAGAA